rnacentral:rRNA from 1 species
CCUACGGGUGGCUGCAGUAAGGAAUAUUGGUCAAUGGACGAAAGUCUGAACCAGCCAUGCCGCGUGAAGGAUGAAGGUCCUCUGGAUUGUAAACUUCUUUUAUCUGGGACGAAAAAAGGGAAUUCUUUCUCACUUGACGGUACCAGAAGAAUAAGCACCGGCUAACUCCGUGCCAGUAGCCGCGGUAAUACGGAGGGUGCAAGCGUUACCGGGAUUAAAUGGGGCUAAAGGGGGCGGAGGUGGGAGGUGAGAAAUCUCCGGGCUUAACCCGGAAACUGCCAUUGAUACUAUCUGUCUUGAAUACUCUGGAGGUAAGCGGAAUAUGUCAUGUAGCGGUGAAAUGCUUAGAUAUGACAUAGAACACCGAUUGCGAAGGCAGCUUACUACGGAGUCAUUGACACUGAGGCACGAAAGCGUGGGGAUCAAACAGGAUUAGAUACCCCAGUAGUC